AUUGAACGCUGGCGGCAGGCCUAACACAUGCAAGUCGAACGAGCGGCGGACGGGUGAGUAAUGUCUGGGAAACUGCCUGAUGGAGGGGGAUAACUACUGGAAACGGUAGCUAAUACCGCAUACCAUCAGAUGUGCCCAGAUGGGAUUAGCUAGUAGUUGGGGUAACGGCUCACCUAGGCGACGAUCCCUAGCUGGGCUGAGAGGAUGACCAGCCACACUGGAACUGAGACACGGUCCAUACUCCUACGUGAGGCAGCAGUGGGGAAUAUUGCACAAUGGGCGCAAGCCUGAUGCAGCCAUGCCGCGUGUGUGAAGAAGGCCUUCGGGUUGUAAAGUACUUUCAGCGAGGAGGCGUUACCCGCAGAAGAAGCACCGGCUAACUCCGUGCCAGCAGCCGCGGUAAUUC
rnacentral:rRNA from 1 species